ensembl:lncRNA
GGGGGACAGAUGGGUAAGGGGGACAGAUGGGUAAGGGGGACAGAUGGGUAAGGGGGACAGAUGGGUAAGGGGGACAGAUGGGUAAGGGGGACAGAUGGGUAAAGGGGACAGAUGGGUAAGGGGGACAGAUGGGUAAAGGGGGACAGAUGGGUAAAGGGGGACAGAUGGGUAAGGGGGACAGAUGGGUAAGGGGGACAGAUGGGUAAGGGGGACAGAUGGGUAAAGGGGACAGAUGGGUAAGGGGGACAGAUGGGUAAAGGGGGACAGAUGGGUAAAGGGGGACGGGGAGGAAGGGGUUGUUGUAGAGCCAGUUUCCCUCAGGUCUCAGAGGAAGGGGUUGUUGUAGAGCCAGUUUCCCUCAGGUCUCAGAGGAAGGGGUUGUUGUAGAGCCAGUUUCCCUCAGGCCUCAGAGGAAGGGGUUGUUGUAGAGCCAGUUUCCCUCAGGCCUCAGAGGAAGGGGUUGUUGUAGAGCCAGUUUCCCUCAGGCCUCAGAGGAAGGGGUUGUUGUAGAGCCAGUUUCCCUCAGGCCUCAGAGGAAGGGGUUGUUGUAGAGCCAGUUUCCCUCAGG